rnacentral:rRNA from 1 species
UACAGAGGGUGCAAGCGUUGUUCGGAAUUAUUGGGCGUAAAGCGCGUGUAGGCGGCUUAGCAAGUCGGGUGUGAAAGCCCUCAGCUCAACUGAGGAAGUGCGCCCGAAACUGCUGAGCUUGAGUACCGGAGAGGAUGGCGGAAUUCCCCAAGUAGAGGUGAAAUUCGUAGAUAUGGGGAGGAACACCGGUGGCGAAGGCGGCCAUCUGGACGGUCACUGACGCUGAGACGCGAAAGUGUGGGGAGCGAACGAGG